UACGGAGGGGGCAAGCGUUGUUCGGAAUUAUUGGGCGUAAAGGGCGCGUAGGCGGCCAUGCGUGUCUUCCGUGAAAUCCCUCGGCUUAACCGAGGACGUGCGGAAGAAACUGCAAGGCUCGAGUCCGGAAGGGGGGGGCGGAAUUCCCAGUGUAGCGGUGAAAUGCGUAGAUAUUGGGAGGAACACCAGUGGCGAAGGCGGUCCCCUGGGCCGGAACUGACGCUGAGGCGCGAAAGCGUGGGUAGCAAACGGG
rnacentral:rRNA from 1 species